rnacentral:rRNA from 1 species
AGCAGCCGCGGUAAUUCCAGCUCCAAUAGCGUAUAUUAAAGUUGUUGCAGUUAAAAAGCUCGUAGUUGAACUUUGGGAUUUGUAAGUUGGUCGGGCUUCACUGUCCGUAUUGACUUGAUGGAUUCUUACCUUCUGAAUAACCAGCAUGCUAUUAAUUUAGUGCGUUGGGGAAGCAGAUCUAUUACCUUGAAAAAUUAGAGUGCUUAAAGCGAGCUAGUGCUUGAAUAGAUUAGCAUGGAAUAAUAAAAUAGGACGGCAUGGUUCUAUUUUGUUGGUUUCUAGGAUCACCGUAAUGAUUAAUAGGGAUAGUUGGGGGCAUUAGUAUUCAAUUGUCAGAGGUGAAAUUCUUGGAUUUAUUGAAGACUAACUUCUGCGAAAGCAUUUGCCAAGGAUGUUUUCAUUAAUCAAGAACGAAAGUUAGGGGAUCGAAGACGAUCAGAUACCGUCGUAGUCUUAAACCAUAAACUAUGCCGACUAGGAAUCGGACGAUGUUAAUUUAUAAUGACUCGUUCGGCUACCG